GUGGGGAAUAUUGGGCAAUGGGCGCAAGCCUGACCCAGCGACGCCGCGUGGGUGAUGAAGGCCUUCGGGUUGUAAAGCCCUGUCAUGUGGAAAGAACAGUUCCGUGGUGAAUAUCCACGGGAUUUGACGGUACCACAGGAGGAAGCACCGGCUAACUCCGUGCCAGCAGCCGCGGUAAUACGGAGGGUGCAAGCGUUGUUCGGAAUUAUUGGGCGUAAAGGGCGCGUAGGCGGUUGUGAAAGUCAGAUGUGAAAUACUUCGGCUCAACUGAAGAACUGCAUCUGAAACUUCAUAACUCGAGUACAGGAGAGGGAAACGGAAUUCCCGGUGUAGAGGUGAAAUUCGUAGAUAUCGGGAGGAACACCAGUGGCGAAGGCGGUUUCCUGGCCUGAUACUGACGCUGAGGCGCGAAAGCGUGGGGAGCAAACAGGAUUAGAAACCCCAGUAGUCC
rnacentral:rRNA from 1 species